ensembl:lncRNA
CGCGCGGACGGUUCGCCGCCGCCGCCGGGGAGCGCCGGAGACCCCCCCGGGCCGCUACUGCGUCACGUCCCCCCCGCUCCUCCGUGAGGACGUCGGCACCGGGCCGGAGUGCCGCUACCGGUGACGGAUAUCCCGGGUCCGUUGCCCGCUCGAAGCAGAAAGCAGCGACGCGGGAACUGGCGUGCGCUUGGUUUGCUCUCUCGAGUUGCAAAAUCCAGGGAAAUUGUGUUUUCGUGUGUAGCGGCCGUGAGUAACUUUGACCGAAGCAUCCUUCCUUCCUGCCCGUUCUGAAGGAAGGAAUCUCUCCCUUGCCUUUGGUCUCCGUGCUGACGGGAACUCAUACGGGCUUGGUUACUUCAGCCGCUGCUAGGGGAGAGGGGGCCGUGCCGGAGCGGCUGUCACACGGCGUGCUGGUAUGGCUGCUUUGUUCAGUGACACGGGGAUGUUCUUCACCUGCCCUCGGUUGGCUGAGGGGAGCCUUCAUGGCGGCUGCAGCUCCUCACAGAGAGCGGAGGGGCAGCGCUGAGCUCUGCUCUGUGUGACAGCGACAGGGCCCGAGGGAACGGCAUGGAGCUGUGUCAGGGGAGGGGCAGCUGGGGGUCAGGGACAGGGUCUGCACCUGAGGGCGGUGGGCUUUGAAUGGGCUGCCCAGAGCUGUGGGCACAGCCCUGAGCUGCCGGAGUUCAGUGAGCAUUUAACAUCACUCUCAGACGUAAGGUCUGAUCCGUAUGAGUCUCUUCCAGCUUGGAAUAUUCUGUGAUUCACCCUUGAAUUCAAGGUGUUGAACAACCCUGAACCAUGUGCUCCACUGGCAGUGAAGUGCCUCACGCUGACACGGCUUGUUCUUCCUGAGACAAGCUAACGUUACCUCAUGCGUAUAACUUUUUAUAUUGAUAUAAGCAUAUCUGUACCAGGAAAGCUCAGUGAAUUAACUUUACUACUUCUGGCUACAGAUCGCAUAAAAAUAAAUCGUUUCCAUUACUCGUCCUGACAUAGGUAACUCAAAUGUAGUGCUCUUUUGGAAACAAAGCACGCAGUGAAAUUGAAACAGCUUUACUAUGUGAGAAAGUCCUUGUUUGCUUAUAUAUUCAACUGGAACACAUACAUCACAUAUAGAGCUACAUAGUAAUCAAAUUGAAGUACAUAUACAUAAAAAUAAUAUAUGCCUGAAAAAGUGUAUAUUAUGCACGUUUCCGUGUCAAGCCCUAUAUAAACCAUUAGGUUCCAGAAGUGUCUAUUAUGUAAGUAGCUUACAUAAAUAAUCUAAUUGGUGACACACCUAAUACCUGGCAAUGUGUUCUGUUGAAUAGAAGUCCAAAAUUUAUUUAGAAGAUGAAUUAAAAGAAUGUAUCUAAAAGCUGCAAUUCAUGGGUCAGAGUUAAGAUUGUCUGUGUUUUUUUUUUAAUCCACUAUAGAGGGGACUUUCCCUUCCUAAGUGGCUGUUCAUAUUCCUUUGCUCGAGCCCCACAUGAACACAGAUUUCAGCACCAUCCAAUAAUAAUCUGAAAAUUGCCUUCAUGGGUGAAGAUUGCUUUGAGUGGCAUUACUGGAAGUUACCCAUAGCCCUGCCUUAAUCUGCCACAAGUCUUGGGGUGGCACACCCGCACUGCGGGAGCAGGGAGACGGCUUUGCAGCGCUGAGUGCAAAAAGAGAAGGUACAGAAACACUGUGCAAAGGCUGCAUUAGUUCUGCUGCCUGUGGAGUAAUUUAGCUUUUCUACUUGUACCUCUUACUUGGCACUGUUGUUUUUUUUCCUAGUACAGAAUAAAUAAUUCAUCG